rnacentral:rRNA from 1 species
GACGAACGCUGGCGGCGUGCUUAACACAUGCAAGUCGAACGGAAAGGCCCUGCUUUUGUGGGGUGCUCGAGUGGCGAACGGGUGAGUAACACGUGAGUAACCUGCCCUUGACUUUGGGAUAACUUCAGGAAACUGGGGCUACUACCGGAUAGGAGCUCCUGCUGCAUGGUGGGGGUUGGAAAGUUUCGGCGGUUGGGGAUGGACUCGCGGCUUAUCAGCUUGUUGGUGGGGUAGUGGCUUACCAAGGCUUUGACGGGUAGCCGGCCUGAGAGGGUGACCGGCCACAUUGGGACUGAGAUACGGCCCAGACUCCUACGGGAGGAAGCAGUGGGGAAUAUUGCACAAGGGGCGGAAGCCUGAUGCAGCAACGCCGCGUGCGGGAUGACGGCCUUCGGGUUGUAAACCGCUUUCGCCUGUGACGAAGCGUGAGUGACGGUAAUGGGUAAAGAAGCACCGGCUAACUACGUG